UCAGCAUUGUCAUCUACAGGGGAUC
rnacentral:piRNA from 1 species